rnacentral:rRNA from 1 species
AAAUUCGAUUCCGUAAGUAGCGGCGAGCGAACGCGGAUUAGCCCAAACCAAUAAAGUUUUCUUUAUUGGGGUUGCGGACAUAUCAUAACGGAGAGGUAUCGUAAUUGAAGAGGUUUGGAAAGACCCACCACAGAAGGUAAUAGUCCUGUAUGUUAAACGAGAAUACUUUAGAUAUGAUCCAGAGUACCACGGGACACGUGAAACCCUGUGGGAAGCAGGAGGGACCACCUUCCAAGGCUAAAUACUACCUAGUGACCGAUAGCGUAUAGUACCGUGAGGGAAAGGUGAAAAGAACCCCGGGAGGGGAGUGAAAUAGAACC